rnacentral:lncRNA from 10 species
CCUUAGCCUCCCAGGUUCAAGUGAUUCUCCUGCCUUAGCCUCCUGAGUAGCUGGAGCAUGAGAAUCACUUGAGCCUGGGAGGUGGAGGUUGCAGUGAGCCGAGAUAGCGCCACUGCAUUCCAGCCUGGGUAACAGAGGGAAACUGUCUCAAAAAACAAACAAAAAAAGAACCGAAAUCAUGCCUACUCUUUCACUUCUCGUCUGUGUGUCAUACAGGAUGCCUCCCUUUUCUUUCAUUUCUUUCUUUUUUCUUUUUUGAGACAGGGUCUCACUCGGUCGCCCAGGCUGGAGUGCAGUGGCACAAACACGACUCACUGCAGCCUCAAACUCCUGGGCUCACACAAUCCUCCCACCUCAGUCCUCCAAUUAGCUGGGACUACAGGCACAUGCCACUACGCCCAGCUAAUUAUUUAUUUAUUUAUUUAUUUUUUGAGAUGGAGUCUGGCUCUGUCGCCCAGGCUGGAGUGCAGUGCUGCAAUCUUGGCUC